UGGGGAAUAUUGGACAAUGGGCGAAAGCCUGAUCCAGCCAUGCCGCGUGUGUGAAGAAGGUCUUCGGAUUGUAAAGCACUUUAAGUUGGGAGGUAGGGCAGUAAGCGAAUACCUUGCUGUUUUGACGUUACCGACAGAAUAAGCACCGGCUAACUCUGUGCCAGCAGCCGCGGUAAUACAGAGGGUGCAAGCGUUAAUCGGAAUUACUGGGCGUAAAGCGCGCGUAGGUGGUUCGUUAAGUUGAAUGUGAAAGCCCCGGGCUCAACCUGGGAACUGCAUCCAAAACUGGCGAGCUAGAGUAGGGCAGAGGGUGGUGGAAUUUCCUGUGUAGCGGUGAAAUGCGUAGAUAUAGGAAGGAACACCAGUGGCGAAGGCGACCACCUGGGCUCAUACUGACACUGAGGUGCGAAAGCGUGGGGAGCAAACAGG
rnacentral:rRNA from 1 species